AUUGAACGCUGGCGGCAUGCCUUACACAUGCAAGUCGAACGGCAGCACGGGAGCAAUCCUGGUGGCGAGUGGCGAACGGGUGAGUAAUAUAUCGGAACGUGCCCAGUCGUGGGGAUAACGUAGCGAAAGCUACGCUAAUACCGCAUACGAUCUAUGGAUGAAAGCGGGGGAUCGCAAGACCUCGCGCGAUUGGAGCGGCCGAUAUCAGAUUAGGUAGUUGGUGAGGUAAAGGCUCACCAAAGCCGACGAUCUGUAGCUGGUCUGAGAGGACGACCAGCCACACUGGGACUGAGACACGGCCCAGACUCCUACGGGAGGCAGCAGUGGGGAAUUUUUGGGACAAAUGGGCGCAAGCCUGAUCCAGCAAUGCCGCGUGCAGGAUGAAGGCCU
rnacentral:rRNA from 1 species